AGUGAACGCUGGCGGUAGGCCUAACACAUGCAAGUCGAACGGCAGCACAGUAAGAGCUCGCCCCUACGGGUGGCGAGUGGCGGACGGGUGAGGAAUACAUCGGAAUCUACUUUUUCGUGGGGGAUAACGUAGGGAAACUUAUGCUAAUACCGCAUACGACCUACGGGUGAAAGCAGGGGAUCUUCGGACCUUGCGCGAUUGAAUGAGCCGAUGUCGGAUUAGCUAGUUGGCGGGGUAAAGGCCCACCAAGGCGACGAUCCGUAGCUGGUCUGAGAGGAUGAUCGGCCACACUGGAACUGAGACACGGUCCAGGCUCCUACGGGAGGCAGCAGUGGGGAAUAUUGGACAAUGGGCGCAAGCCUGAUCCAGCCAUGCCGCGUGGGUGAAGAAGGCCUUCGGGUUGUAAAGCCCUUUUGUUGGGAAAGAAAAGCAGCAGGUUAAUACCCCGCUGUUCUGACGGUACCCAAAGAAUAAGCACCGGCUAACUUCGUG
rnacentral:rRNA from 1 species